UUUAAGGUUGACCUCGGAUCAGGUAGGGAUACCCGCUGAACUUAAGCAUAUCAAUAAGCGGAGGAAAAGAAACCAACCGGGAUUGCCUCAGUAACGGCGAGUGAAGCGGCAAGAGCUCAAAUUUGAAAUCUGGCCCCCUCGGGGUCCGAGUUGUAAUUUGCAGAGGAUGCUUCGGAUGCGGCCCCUGUCUAAGUGCCCUGGAACGGGCCGUCGGAGAGGGUGAGAAUCC
rnacentral:rRNA from 1 species